rnacentral:rRNA from 1 species
UGGGGAAUAUUGCACAAUGGGGGAAACCCUGAUGCAGCAACGCCGCGUGCGGGAUGACGGCCUUCGGGUUGUAAACCGCUUUCAGACAUGACGAAGCUUUUGUGACGGUAGUGGCAGAAGAAGCACCGGCUAACUACGUGCCAGCAGCCGCGGUGAUACGUAGGGUGCGAGCGUUGUCCGGAAUUAUUGGGCGUAAAGAGCUUGUAGGCGGUUUGUCGCGUCGAAAGUGUAAACUCAGUGCUUAACGCUGAGCCUGCUUUCGAUACGGGCUGACUAGAGGAAGGUAGGGGAGAAUGGAAUUCCCGGUGGAGCGGUGGAAUGCGCAGAUAUCGGGAGGAACACCAGUGGCGAAGGCGGUUCUCUGGACCUUUCCUGACGCUGAGAAGCGAAAGCGUGGGUAGCAAACAGG